rnacentral:rRNA from 1 species
UACGUAGGGUGCAAGCGUUGUCCGGAUUUAUUGGGCGUAAAGAGCUCGUAGGCUGUCUGUCGCGUCGGAUGUGAAAACCCAGGGCUCAACCUCGGGCCUGCAGUGGGUACGGGCAGACUAGAGUGCGGUAGGGGAGAUUGGAAUUCCUGGUGUAGCGGUGGAAUGCGCAGAUAUCAGGAGGAACACCAAUGGCGAAGGCAGAUCUCUGGGCCGUAACUGACGCUGAGGAGCGAAAGCAUGGGGAGCGAACAGG